rnacentral:rRNA from 1 species
GCCUACGGCCAUACCACCCUGAACACGCCCGAUCUCGUCUGAUCUCGGAAGCUAAGCAGGGUCGGGCCUGGUUAGUACUUGGAUGGGAGACCACCUGGGAAUACCGGUUGCUGUAGGCU